UACGGGGGGGCGAAGCGUUGUUCGGUAAUUACUGGGCGUAAAGGGCUCGUAGGCGGCCAACUAAGUCAUACGUGAAAUCCCUCGGCUUAACCGGGAACUGCGUCUGAUACUGGAUGGCUUGAGAUUGGGAGAGGGAUGCGGAAUUCCAGGUGUAGCGGUGAAAUGCGUAGAUAUCUGGAGGAACACCGGUGGCGAAGGCGGAUCUCUGGGCCAUUACUGACGCUGAGGAGCGAAAGCGUGGGAGCGAACGAGG
rnacentral:rRNA from 1 species